GCUGUAUGUACCUCCUGCAUUGGUGGCAAUUCCCAGUUAAUUUCCUAACCUUUGGCUGAGGAUCACCAGAUGGUUGAUGUGUUCUGUUGCUGUUUAUAAAAGGUGGCAGAUCUAAUAAUGGAGAUUAUCAAACUCUUGCCAAGAGGGGGCUGACUUCAAUGUACAGGUUUCUGCUUAGCAGGGAAGACAUCCUCAAACCUGCCCCUUAUUGAUGUAGCCUUGAAAGAAAUGCUUGCAGUUUGGUGGCAGAGAUCUCCUAACUCAUGCAGCCCAGGUCACUGGUGCCCCUGAAAAUGGGAAUAUCAAUGUCAUAAAAAACUAACACCAUGAAGGGGUUCAAGCUGCUUAGUGGUAUAGGUUUAACAUAGAAGAUCCGGACUAUGACCAGGAUCUUGCAGCAUUUAUUCUCUGUUUCUGUAACAGAUAUUUUAACAUAGAAGACCAUGAUUCCUUCUCAAAGAUCUGCUCAGCUGUGUCAAGGAUGUGAAUGAAGAAUUGAAUUAGUUGGAAAACUUCUUAUUGAAGAACUGGUAACAGAAUAUUAGUAAGCAUUUGCCUUAAAUACAUUUAGGUUUUCCUAAGUGAUGAUAGUGAUGGUCAUGCUCA